GGGCCGGUAGUUCAGUCUGGAAGAACGACGGUUUUGCGCACCGUAGGUCGAGGGUUCAAAUCCCUCCCGGUCCA
rnacentral:tRNA from 1 species